AACGAACGCUGGCGGCAUGCCUAACACAUGCAAGUCGAACGAGACCUUCGGGUCUAGUGGCGCACGGGUUCGUAACGCGUGGGAACCUGCCCUUAGGUUCGGAAUAACUCCCCGAAAGGGGUGCUAAUACCGGAUAAUGUCUUCGGACCAAAGAUUUAUCGCCUUUGGAUGGGCCCGCGUUGGAUUAGCUAGUUGGUAGGGUAAAAGCCUACCAAGGCGACGAUCCAUAGCUGGUCUGAGAGGAUGAUCAGCCACACUGGGACUGAGACACGGCCCAGACUCCUACGGGAGGCAGCAGUGGGGAAUAGUGGACAAUGGGCGAAAGCCUGAUCCAGCAAUGCCGCGUGAGUGAUGAAGGCCUUAGGGUUGUAAAGCUCUUUUAACCGGGAUGAUAAUGACAGUACCGGGAGAAUAAGCGCCGGCUAACUCCGUG
rnacentral:rRNA from 1 species